CUGAGCUAAUGAUGAGUUGCGUUAUCCCUGUCUGAAAAAUCAGAUGAGGAGAAGUGUGGAACACUGAGAGCUCAG